rnacentral:rRNA from 1 species
AGAACGAACGCUGGCGGCAUGCCUAACACAUGCAAGUCGAACGAGAUCCUUCGGGGUCUAGUGGCGCACGGGUGCGUAACGCGUGGGAAUCUGCCCUUAGGUACGGAAUAACUCAGGGAAACUUGUGCUAAUACCGUAUGAUGUCUUCGGACCAAAGAUUUAUCGCCUAGGGAUGAGCCCGCGUAGGAUUAGCUAGUUGGUGGGGUAAAGGCCUACCAAGGCGACGAUCCUUAGCUGGUCUGAGAGGAUGAUCAGCCACACUGGGACUGAGACACGGCCCAGACUCCUACGGGAGGCAGCAGUGGGAAUAUUGGACAAUGGGCGAAAGCCUGAUCCAGCAAUGCCGCGUGAGUGAAGAAGGCCUUCGGGUUGUAAAGCUCUUUUACCCGGGAAGAUAAUGACUGUACCGGGAGAAUAAGCCCCGGCUAACUCCGCGCCAGCAGCCGC